GGGAAUGUGGCUUAGUGGUAGAGUGCUUGCCUAGCAUGCAUGAAACUCUGGAUUCGAUUCCUCAGUACCA
rnacentral:tRNA from 1 species